CUGUCCCUAGAUAAUCCGUCCUAGUUACGAAAGUAAAGGAAGAUAUAAUGAGUUAGGCAAUAGUUGGUAUUGUACUAUACGUGAUAAUGCUAGACCUAGGCACGUUAAAAUUAUAU
ncrna:unclassified sequences EGFOA RNA